GAUGAAGAACGUAGCGAAAUGCGAUACUUGGUGUGAAUUGCAGAAUCCCGUGAACCAUCGAGUCUUUGAACGCAAGUUGCGCCUGAAGCCACUAGGCCGAGGGCACGCCUGCCUGGGCGUCACACGUCGUUGCCCCCCCAUCUACUCCUUCGGGAUUGCGGGGGGGCGGAUGAUGGCCUCCCGUGCGCCUAGCCGCGCGGUUGGCAUAAAUACCAAGUCCUCGGCGACGCACGCCACGACAAUCGGUGGUUGCGAAACCUCGGUUGCCCGUCGUGUGCGUUCGUCGCGCAUCGAGGGCUCGAAAAAAUGCUCGGCUUCGGCUCGGCUUUCAACGCGACCCCAGGUCAGGCGGGGUUACCCGCUGAAUUUAAGCAUAUCAAUAAGCGGAGGA
rnacentral:misc_RNA from 1 species